UGUGGAGUUCUUCCCAGCUCCGACGGAAUGGCGAUCGUGACUAGGUCCGCCGCCUUGUAUCACACGAGCGUGUGUAUACCCGUGCGACUCAAGGCGGCGGAACUAGCCACGGGCGCCCUUCCAUCGAGGCUAGACAGAAUUCAACGA
rnacentral:pre_miRNA from 1 species